rnacentral:misc_RNA from 1 species
AGGCAGACGUCGAUCCCCCGCACACGCCAGCGCGAGCUGCUCGCACAUCCUAUUUUGCGUUUUGUUUUUUUCUGUAUCGUUGCUGUAUAUCGCUUCGUAUCAGCGAAAGCAUUCCGCCGCGCCGUCUCUCCCACACGUGCGCACACGCGGGCGCCACUCUGCCCCACCACCACCACCGCCGCCGCGACCCUUCCCUUCCCUUCCCUGUCGCACAAACUUUUUUCUGGUUAAGUGGGGUUUCGACGAACGCAUCUUCGCCCCUCCCUGUCGCCUGUGUCUGUCGCUCUGUACAUAUAUAUAUAUAUAUAUACAGGCACCCGCGUGCACGUGCGUUGUUGUGGCCUCCUCCUCCCUCCCCUCCCCUCCCCUGUCACGUCCUGUGCUGGCAGCAUCGGCAUCAGUGCCCAGCACAGGUUGGCGGGCGUUUUCUUUUGAGCACCUCUUGCUUGUGUGCCGCUUGCGCUGCGAGGGUGGGGAGGCAGAGCGAGGGCUUCUCCGCUUUUUCGUGGAAGGUGCAUCGGGCGCAUUAUCGCAUGCAUUCGCGGUGGAGCAUCGCUCUCUCUCUCUCUGAGUGUGUGUGUGUGUGUACGUUGUUUGCUUGGCUGCCGUUUUGUGCCGGCACUUCUUCUUCAGCGGUAAAUCUCUCUCCCUCCUCCCUCACCUGCCCCCCCCCAACACACACGCACGCACGCACGAG